AUUGAACGCUGGCGGAAUGCUUUACACAUGCAAGUCGAGCGGCAGCGCGGGGCAACCUGGCGGCGAGCGGCGAACGGGUGAGUAAUGUAUCGGAACGUACCCAGUCGUGGGGGAUAACUAUCCGAAAGGAUAGCUAAUACCGCAUACGUCCUGAGGGAGAAAGCGGGGGAUCGCAAGACCUCGCGCGAUUGGAGCGGCCGAUAUCGGAUUAGCUAGUUGGUGAGGUAAAGGCUCACCAAGGCGACGAUCCGUAGCUGGUCUGAGAGGACGACCAGCCACACUGGAACUGAGACACGGUCCAGACUCCUACGGGAGGCAGCAGUGGGGAAUUUUGGACAAUGGGGGCAACCCUGAUCCAGCCAUUCCGCGUGAGUGAAGAAGGCCUCGGUG
rnacentral:rRNA from 1 species